CCUACGGGAGGCAGCAGUGGGGAAUAUUGCACAAUGGGGGGAACCCUGAUGCAGCGACGCCGCGUGAGUGAAGAAGUAUCUCGGUAUGUAAAGCUCUAUCAGUAGGGAAGAAGAUGACGGUACCUGACCACGAAGCCCCGGCGAACUACGUGCCAGCAGCCGCGGUAAUACGGAGGGGGCAAGCGUUAUCCGGAUUUACUGGGUGUAAAGGGAGCGUAGUCGGCAGGGCAAGUCUGGAGUGAAAGCCCGGGGCCCAACCCCGGGACUGCAUUGGAAACUGCCAUGCUAGAGUGCUGGAGAGGUAAGCGGAAUUCCUAGUGUAGCGGUGAAAUGCGUAGAUAUUAGGAGGAACACCAGUGGCGAAGGCAGCUUACUGGACAGUAACUGACGUUGAGGCUCGAAAGCGUGGGGAGCAAACAGGAUUAGAUACCCGGGUAGUC
rnacentral:rRNA from 1 species